ACCUUUGACAUGUACGGAAUCCUUUAGAGAUAGAGGAGUGCUCGAAAGAGAGCCGUAACACAGGUGCUGCAUGGCUGUCGUCAGCUCGUGUCGUGAGAUGUUGGGUUAAGUCCCGCAACGAGCGCAACCCUUGUCAUUAGUUGCUACAUUCAGUUGGGCACUCUAAUGAGACUGCCGGUGGACAAACCGGAGGAAGGUGGGGAUGACGUCAAGUCCCUCAUGGCCCUUAUAGGUGGGGCUACACACGUCAUACAAUGGAUGGUACAAAGGGUCGCCAACCCGCGAGGGGGAGCCAAUCCCAUAAAGCCAUUCGUAGUCCGGAUCGCAGUCUGCAACUCGACUGCGUGAAGUCGGAAUCGCUAGUAAUCGUGGAUCAGAAUGUCACGGUGAAUACGUUCCCGGGUCUU
rnacentral:rRNA from 1 species